AGUGAACGCUGGCGGCGUGCUUAACACAUGCAAGUCGAACGGUAACAGCAGAAGCUUGCUUCUGGCUGACGAGUGGCGGACGGGUGAGUAAUGUAUAGUUAAUCUGCCCUUUAGAGGGGGAUAACAGUUGGAAACGACUGCUAAUACCCCAUACUCCUUCUAUCUUAAUGGUAGUUGGGAAAUGUUUUUUCGCUAAAGGAUGAGACUAUAUGGUAUCAGCUAGUUGGUGAGGUAAGAGCUCACCAAGGCAAUGACACCUAGCUGGUCUGAGAGGAUGAUCAGCCACACUGGAACUGAGACACGGUCCAGGCUCCUACGGGAGGCAGCAGUGGGGAAUAUUGCACAAUGGACGAAAGUCUGAUGCAGCAACGCCGCGUGGAGGAUGACACAUUUCGGUGCGUAAACUCCUUUUAUAUGGGAAGAUAAUGACGGUACCAUAUGAAUAAGCACCGGCUAACUCCGUGCCAGCAGCCGCGGUAAUACGGAGGGUGCAGGCGUUACUCGGAAUCACUGGGCGUAAAGCGCGCGCAGGCGGCCUUUUAAGUUGGAUGUGAAAGCCUAUGGCUCAACCAUAGAACUGCAUCCAAAACUAUUGGGCUAGAGUGUGGGAGA
rnacentral:rRNA from 1 species